rnacentral:rRNA from 1 species
AGAGACAGCAGCAGCCGCGGUAAUACGGAGGAUCCAAGCGUUAUCCGGAAUCAUUGGGUUUAAAGGGUCCGUAGGCGGUCUUGUAAGUCAGUGGUGAAAGCCCAUCGCUCAACGGUGGAACGGCCAUUGAUACUGCAGGACUUGAAUUAUUGGGAAGUAACUAGAAUAUGUAGUGUAGCGGUGAAAUGCUUAGAGAUUACAUGGAAUACCAAUUGCGAAGGCAGGUUACUACCAAUUGAUUGACGCUGAUGGACGAAAGCGUGGGUAGCGAACAGGAUUAGAUACCCCUGUAGUCCCUGUCUCUUAAAC